rnacentral:sRNA from 1 species
GGUAGACCUGGCGACGACGGGGCUGCAGCUGCAGGGGCUGAGCUGGCUGGGCAAGCGCGGGCCGCGGAGGAGGUCUCAGGGAGGAUCUCCUGAUGCAGUCCAGCAAAGAACUUUCACAUGUGGACCUCCCUGAAGAUUUUCUAAGGAGCAAAGAAGGAAAUGUACAGAUUACAGCUGAAACUCUGCUAAAAUCCACUGAAGUACAAGGUAUGAAGGUCAGUGGGACUAAGACGGAUAAUAAUGAAGGACACAAAAAUGGCAAUGUGAGUAAAGAUCUCUCAGCUGGAUGCAACGAAUUCCCAGAAGUAGACAAAAUCAUGACCAGUGAUGAGGUUUCAGAAACCAGCACAUUAGUUACCCCAGAACCUUUAACCUUUGUGGACCCUGUAUUAACAGAAGCAACUCCUAAAGAAAAAGAAUGUGAAGAAUUAAAAAGUUGUCCUUGGUUGUCAUUACCAGGAAACAGUGCCAUUUCUAAUGUGGACAAUGGGAAGGAAGAGUUGUGUAAACCAAACCUGGUCUGUGAAGCAGAUGACAAUCACCAACAGCUUCAUGGCCACCAUAAUGAACAACCCAGUUCUACACAUGAUAGUCCCACAGCCACAAGCCCUUUGAAAGAAAAUUCUGAAGUUUCAUGUUUCACAUCAGACUUGUCUGGUCUGGAAUCCAGAACAAUAUCCUUAGAAAACUGUGAUUUUGAAGGUGGUGGUUUGCUAAA